AUUGAACGCUGGCGGCAGGCCUAACACAUGCAAGUCGAACGCGUGGCGGACGGGUGAGUAAUGUCUGGGAAACUGCCCGAUGGAGGGGGAUAACUACUGGAAACGGUAGCUAAUACCGCAUACCAUCGGAUGUGCCCAGCUGGGAUUAGCUUGUAGUUGAGGUAACGGCUCACCUAGGCGACGAUCCCUAGCGGGUCUGAGAGGAAGACCAGCCACACUGGAACGGAGACACGGUCCAGACUCCAACGGGAGGCAGCAGUGGGGAAGAUUGAAAAAUGGGCGCAAGCCUGAGGCAGCCAUGCCGCGUGUAUGAAGAAGGCCUGCGGGUUGUAAAGUACGUUCAGCGGGGAGGCGUUACCCGCAGAAGAAGCACCGGCUAACUCCGUGCCAGCAGCCGCGGUAAUAC
rnacentral:rRNA from 1 species